GGGGUGGGGUGUGUGUAGGUGAAGACUGGGGUUGAGGUGUGUGUAGGUGAAGACUGGGGUUGAGGUGUGUGUAGGUGAAGACUGGGGUUGGGGUGUGUGUAGGUGAAGACUGGGGUUGAGGUGUGUGUAGGUGAAGACUGGGGUUGAGGUGUGUGUAGGUGAAGACUGGGGGUGGGGUGUGUGUAGGUGAAGACUGGGGGUGGGGUGUG